UAUUUUUUGUAUGGUAGUUGUAUUAUUUAAUUUGAUUGUGUUGUAUAACAGAUGAAACAAAUUUAUAUUUUAAAAAAUGAUAGUAAUUGAUUUUUGGGAUCUUUUGGAGUAGAAUAUAAUUUGAAAUUGAUAAUAUCAAAUGUAAUGGAAUUGUUGUAGGUGUGAUCAAAGUAAUGUACGCUAAGAGCAAGUUCACCCAUAAAAAAAUGCUCUAACACCUAGCCAUUUAAUCCACUCAGUGAACAAUGAUAGACCCCAAUGAACAGUAAUAGGCCAAAUGCAUCUCCACCCCUAAAAAAUGCGCUGGCACAAACGAUCUCCACCCUUACAAAAUGUGCUAGCACCCAGCCCAUUUAAAAUAUUAUUAAUUUUUUUUAAAUAAUAAAUAAAAAAUGGUUUUAAUUUCGGAUAGAAUUGUUAACCAAUCUUGUCACGCCAUGUGUUAAAUAAACUUAAAAAAAACACACUAAAACAUUAUAGCAAGUUCACCCUAAAAAAAUGCGCCAGCACCUAGCCCAUUCAAUCCACUUAGUGAACAUUGAUAGACUCCAAUGAACAAUAUCAGGUCAAAUGCAUCUUCACCCCUAAAAAAUGCACUAGCACAAAGUCUAAAAAAUGCAUUGGUAUAAACGAUCUUCAUCCCUACAAAAUGCGCUAGCACCUAGCCCAUUUAAAAUAUUAUUAAUUUUUUUAUAAAAUAAUAAAUAAAUAAAAUAGUUUUAAUUUCGGAUAGAAUUUUUAACAAAUCUCAUCACUCCAUGUGCCAAAUAAAAAAAUAAAAAAAACACACUAAAUAAAAUUACAUAAACUCAUCAAAUAAACUUAAAAAACACACUACAUAAAAUUACAUAAACUUAUCAAAUAAACUUAAAAAACAAACUAAAUAAACUAAGAACUUUAUUUAACCACUACACGCUCCUUUUAAUUAUCUUGACCUUGUUGAAAUCCCCACUGGUGCUUGUGGAGCCAAAAACAUUCACUAGGCGACACGUGGACUUUUGGACAAAAGAGGACAAAAAUACCCUUGAAGCAUACCGGGAUUCCUACGCGCAAGCAACGGGCAAUCAUCUUUCAAUCAAGUGAAAAGUGCCCAAAAUAGGUAACAAUUUGGAGCCUAUUUCAUCAAAUCCUUUCUAUAAGGUAAUCCCCAAAAUCUAAUUUAUUCUAUAUGUUUUAUAUUCCAUUAUUUAGCUAAUAAAUUAGCUAAAUAAUAUAUUCCUUUCAUAUUUCCUAAAAUUGACUAAUUAAGGGAUUAAUUACCUAAUCAAUCCCUUAAUUAUCAAUCAAACCACCAAAUUAUAACCAAAAAACAUACCAAAGGCCGGUUACCCACUAGGGCCCACCAUGCCUUUUAUUUUCUGCUUUUUGCUACCAUUUUCUUUCCCUUUUAUGACAUUCAAAUAGCUAGUUAAUUAGGUUAUUAUUAUUUGCUAAUUAACUAGCCAAUUAUUUCCAUAACUCCCCAAAAUAACAAGCCCAUUAUCUCCAUAACCCCCCAAAAUAAAUCAUCCUUGGCUUAAAGGCCGGCCACCCCUUCCUUUCUUAUAAAUUGGUUCCCAUUUUCACCAAACACUAAUUCCAAUUCUCUUACAAAAAAAUCUCAAAUACUCUAAACACUAUUUCUCUCUAAAAUUCUAACUUUGGCAUCAGAGGUUCUUCAGCCAAAAGCCCCCCCAUUCAUCGUGGGCGCGUGAGACUUUUUGGCCUUAACCUAAGGUGCUAGUUGUUUUGUAGGUGCAAAAUCGUCCAAGAUCGAGGAGGAGAAAAUUUGCAUCCACAGUGCUCAAUCAAGUCAUUUUGACGGGUACAGUGCUAGUAUGGCUUUUGCAAUGAAGUGUAUGGCUCAGCGAUCAAUUGAUUGUAACGUCCAUCUCGUUCUAAUGGCUCGUGUUGCACGGGAUCUUCGAUGCUGUCAUGAGCACAAUAGAUACGUGUUCUUGAGUUGUUCAUUGUGUCCGGCUCGUAUUUGUCGACGGCAUAAUAAUCAUACUCAUCUUCCACAAUCAUGUUGUGGAGAAUGAUACACAUCAUCAUGAUGGAUUGAAGUGCCUCGACAUCAAAUAUUCUAGCAGCUAACUUGACAAUCGCCCAACGAGCUUGUAGAAUACCAAAACAACACUCCACAUCCUUCCUACACCCCUCUUGACAUUUUGCAAAGUGUUUUUCUUUUUCACUUUGUGGAUGUGGGACUAUUUUGACAAACGUUGUCCACUUAGGUAAAUGCCGUUUGCAAGGUAGUACGGCCCAUCGUAUGUAUGGCCAUUGACUGAAUAUGUGACUUUGGGUGUUUUUCCUUGCAAUACUUCGUGGAAGACUAGAGAUUGGACAAGGAAAUUUAGGUCAUUAUGAGCUCCUGGAACACCAAAUGUAUCAAAUGAAGACACUGCUUCCAAAAUAAUAUUUUUGGCUCAUUUUCUGUCGCCAUACGCUCCAUGCCACACACUUAGACAGUUUUCCAGGUGCAGUGCAUGCAGUCGAUGCUUCCAAUCAUGCCAGGGAAGCCUCACAUCUCACCCUUCCUCAGCAGCCUUCGCAAGUCCCUUUCCGUGGGUUUCCAAAGGUACUCCUUGGUAUAGGGGGCUUCAAUUGCAGAGCAAAAUUGCAUCAAAGACUCCUGAUCGGAUCAUAUUUAUAUAUAUUUUUACUUCGAAUUCACUCGUCUUUUCUUAGUUAGUUCCUUACAUUUUU
rnacentral:lncRNA from 1 species